rnacentral:lncRNA from 1 species
AGGUCACCAAACGCCUUCCCCAGCGCCAUCCUGUUGCCCACACUUUUGGCCCUUCCCAGCUGCUGAAAAGGAGAAAGGACUGGGUGCUGGCGGUCGCAAUGGGCCCCCCUCUUUCUGUGCUGCUGUGGGCCAGGGAAAUCCUCCCGCUUCCUGUUCCCUCUGCUGAGCCCAGUGGAUGAGGCAAGGCUGCGAAGGGUCCCUGCCUGGGGCUGGGUGGGUGGAAGGGGCACGAAAGCAGAAGUGGCUUCAGGCUGGCUCAGGCCCCUGGUCCAUCUAGCCCAGGACCAUUCCACCCAGAGGUUGAGCCAGCGGUCUCUAGGGCUUGGUAACAGGAUUGUUCCCCCCUCAGCUCCCAGCCCCCAAAAAAGGGGUGUGGCCAGUUUGGCCCAUGGACCAUCGCGGCCCUCAAAAUCCCAGCUCACGAGGGGACCUGAGGAGCCAGGCCUCGGCCGGCACAUUGGAAGGGACUCGCCCUCACAGUAGGAAUCUUCUGAUGAGAAUGCCUUGAAUUUCAAAAAAUAGAAAGCAGGAGAAAUAUUGCUACAUUAGUACAUCUACGUAGCAGACAAAAAGGUAAGGGGAUGAAAGCACAGAUUUGGGUUGUCAAACAAAGAUGUUAGCAACAUUUGAGAAGUGUUGCUAUAGUGCAGUGGUAGAUACUUCCCCCUGCUGUUCUUCGUAGGGAGUGGGUGACAUUCUUGGGGAGGUCACAUCCUGUUCCUGUUAUGCUCUCUUUGUGGAGCUGUCAUAAGAAAAAGUUCAGAAAAUUCAGCAAAUGCCACUGUCAGAUAGUUAACUGGAGCUACUUACAGGGAAUCACAUAACUCACGU